CCUACGGGUGGCUGCAGUGAGGAAUAUUGGUCAAUGGGCGCGAGCCUGAACCAGCCAAGUCGCGUGAGGGAUGAAGGUUCUAUGGAUCGUAAACCUCUUUUAUAAGGGAAUAAAGUGUGGGACGUGUCCUAUUUUGUAUGUACCUUAUGAAUAAGGAUCGGCUAACUCCGUGCCAGCAGCCGCGGUAAUACGGAGGAUCCGAGCGUUAUCCGGAUUUAUUGGGUUUAAAGGGUGCGUAGGCGGCCUUUUAAGUCAGCGGUGAAAGUCUGUGGCUCAACCAUAGAAUUGCCGUUGAAAAUGGGGGGGGUGGGGAUGAGUGAGGCAAGCGGAAAGCGAGGGGUAGGGGUGGAAUGCUUAGAAAUCAAG
rnacentral:rRNA from 1 species